rnacentral:rRNA from 1 species
ACUCAAAUGAAUUGACGGGGGCCCGCACAAGCGGUGGAUCAUGUGGUUUAAUUCGAAGCAACGCGAAGAACCUUACCUGGGUUUGACAUCGCCGGACAAACGCAGAGAUGCGUCUUUUGUAGCAAUACAACCGGUAGACAGGUGCUGCAUGGCUGUCGUCAGCUCGUGUGGUGACAUGUUGGGUUAAGUCCCGCAACGAGCGCAACCCUUGUCUUUAGUUGCCAGCAUUCAGUUGGGCACUCUAAAGAGACUGCCGUGGUUAACACGGAGGAAGGUGGGGAUGACGUCAAGUCCUCAUGGCCUUUAUAUCCAGGGCGACACACGUGAUACAAUGGACGGUACAGAGGGAAGCGAAUGCGCGAGCAGGAGCCAAUCUCAAAAAGCCGUUCUCAGUUCGGAUUGGAGUCUGCAACUCGACUCCAUGAAGUUGGAAUCGCUAGUAAUCGUGGAUCAGCACGCCACGGUGAAUACGUUCCCGGGCCUUGUACACACCGCCCGU